UACGGGGGGGCAAGCGUUGUUCGGAAUUACUGGGCGUAAAGGGCUCGUAGGUGGCCAACUAAGUCAGACGUGAAAUCCCUCGGCUUAACCGGGGAACUGCGUCUGAUACUGGAUGGCUUGAGUUCGGGAGAGGGAUGCGGAAUUCCAGGUGUAGCGGUGAAAUGCGUAGAUAUCUGGAGGAAUACCGGUGGCGAAGGCGGCAUCCUGGACCGACAUUGACGCUGAGGAGCGAAAGCCAGGGGAGCAAACGGG
rnacentral:rRNA from 1 species